GAAUUCAAAUGUAGUACACAAGAUGGAAACCCACAACUUCCCAAAUAACCGACUUCUCUGAAUAAAUCCAGGGAAUACCCCAUGUCUUCUAAACUGAUUUAAGUCGGCCUCCCAUGGGGAAGAGGCAGGAAACACUGUUGCACUACAAGAAAAGGAUUUGGAUAUUGGACCAUCAUAAAGAUCCCCGUGGAGCUGCCUGGAAGAAGGAUCCUAAUAUCAUGUAUCAGUUAGAUGACCAAGUUCAGGGCCUGCACGACUGCUGCAGCUCAGCGCCGGAGCUCGGAUCAAUGGAAUACUGUUGGGGAUACAACGGACCACACCCACACACUGAUUAGACCCUCUGAUUGGAUAUCACAUGGAUGUCUUGACCACUACCAUGGCUUUCAUGCAAAUUGAUGAAGGAGCAAAGAAGCAGCUGUGAGAAGCCCGGAAGGUCCCCCAACUCUGCCCCUCACCUGUGUCACAUCUGCCUGCCAGUGCCAUCAAGGUGCGUCAAUCUUCCACCCUGGCAUCUCUUUACCUGUGGCACUACACUGCACCUUCCUGGCUGGCACGCUUUCGACCCUCCCCCAUCACUCCCGCCUCUUGUUCCUCAAGGCAUCUGUCACUCACCUGUCAUUUCUUUCAUCAACUCCUGCCUUACUCCUACCUUCUUGCGUUGGCCUCGGCAAAGGCGGGAAGGAAACCAUCGGAGCGAAAAUAGUGACCACUUUGUCCCAGUUCCAGGUUUAGCUGCUGUGGAGGAUGACACAUCAGGGAGGUGUUGACUGACAGCGGCAUUCCUACUAAAGCAGGUUUCUCUCUGGGGACACAGGAGAUUGAUGAACGUAUGGGUCAAAUAUUUGACACACUUGAACCCUGCAGCAAAAACUUAUAGAUUUGUUUGGCAUAAUUAUAUCGAGUUUGAUACAAUGAUAAAGAUAAAGUUAUACAAAGUCAACACUGAUGUUCCUUAGACUGUCCUGUGUUCAAGUUAUAGUUAGUAUAGUAUAACUCCUGCACCAGUGUUACCAAGACAUAUACCAAUAUCCUCUAGAUUAUAAUGGAACCAGAUGGCACUCAGCUUGAGGUGCUGAAAGCGGCAAAAAAAAAAAUAUAAAAAAAUAAAUCAUCAUGACCCUGUUACUCAUGAUAAUCUACAGACCUUGUUGGGAGCAGUUUCAUAUAGGAACUAUUUUGUUUCUACACCCACCAAUCAAAUCACCACACAGAAGGGAAGCAUGUAGGUAAGAGGAAAAAUGUGUAUUUCUGAUUUUGGGUUGAACUGCCCCUUUAAAGAUGCUUAUAAUGAUGAAGUCCAUGAGGUGUGACUGAAAGCUCAGAAAAGCUAGACCCUGGGUUAAGAUUUCUCAAACUGUCUCCUGUUGUUGUAUUAAAUAAAGAUAAGAACAAAAACUGUGGAGCUCCAUAUUUCUACAAAUUAGAUUAUGAUAACUUACGUUGAUUAAGGUCAAACAAUGAAAAGAAAUAAAAACAACGAGCCAAAAAUGUUCUCUCACAGUAAAAACCCUUUCUGUCCGAUGGAAAUAGAACCCGGGCCAUCAGUGUUGAAGAUGAUGAUGUGUCAUUCAUCACCCCACCUGUUUCCAGUCAUGUCUCUUCCACAUAAUCCCUUUCACAGUGAGAAAACAUAUUUCAGUCUCUCCUUCCUGAGCACAAAGGAGGAUAUCGUUUUCAGUUUCGUAGAUUCCCAUAAUUUCAGGAGACUUGAGUGACACACACACACAAGUAUUAACACACAUUUAUUCCUUUUUGUCAGCAGUAAACACACACCUUAGUUUUCUGAGAUUUGUUGCUGGCCCGAGGGUCUCUGUCUUUCCACUCUGGGGAAAAUGAUCAAAGCAGUCCUGCUCCUCAAGGGUUAAAACGUCAGCAGCAACAAAUUUGCCUUCACUAAGCCUGUCACACAAGUAAAUUCUAAACUAUUGACAGCCUUGCUCAAAUUCCAGUCCUGCACUGUGCAUGGAAAGACCCCACAGGUGAAUACGUGAUUGAUUAGCUUUUCUGAUGACUAACGUGUCUUGAGGCAAAGAGAAGGAGGGGAUAGUUACUUCCUAACAUGAUUCUUGCCUCUGGAAAAAGUGUUUUCUUGGACUCUCCUCAGCACGGCAAGUCUCCACCAAGCUGGGGAGAGGCUAUUCCAGCUAUCAGUGGCUAGACCUUUCGUGAGUACUGUCUGAAAUAUUGCACAAAUAACGAUCAAAGCAGCUCCCUGAACUGGCUGGGCCCAGACAGUAAAUCCAGCCUGGUGAGGGCCAGACAGUGAUUUUGUUUCACAUUUCCGCCCAAGACACAGGCACAUGCAAGGAAGAGGAGAAUAAAAUAGAUAAAAAAAGAAAAAGAGCCCUUGGCUGUGGCCCAAACUCCGGCCAUAUCAGUUAGGCUUUGCUGCCACGUGGCAUAUGGUACAAGACAAACUGUCAGCCUUUUUCCCUCCUGUCUGUGCUUGCUUAGAGAUGACAGGAGCAAGAGCACGUUUGUGUCCCGGCAGCAGGCAUCAGGCAGGCUUAGCAGUGAUUUGGGGGGAAAAGGGGUGAAAGGCAGAGCAUCUUGCUGUGGCGAGCGGUGAUGCGUCUGCAUGGCUGGGCGUGGGGGGCCACACAGUAGCUGCGGGGGACAGCGCAGUGGCUGCGAUUGUGAGGAAACUGCAAAUUGAUCAAAUUGUAGAGGCAAGACUUUAGGCCUAUUAUCUGGGUCAUGUCAAUGUCUCUCUGGUCUCCAGUUGGUCACAGGGGCAAGUAGAGUGUGUGUAUGUUUGUGUGUAAAAGAGUCUAAGCUUUAAGAGCCAAAAUUCAAUUCUGUAAGUGUGUCUAGUCAAACCUUCAUGCACGUGUUGUUUGCACCGUGCCUCUGCAGCAAAUAGAUCUAACAAACACCAAGCGCAAACAGUUUUCAUUAGCAUCAGUGUGAUACUUCCCAAGACUUUGUGGUGAAGGUGAAUCUGAGGUCAAGUCCUGCACACCACCAAACUUAGAGCAAUUACAGAUCCUUAUUUAUCGAACUUCUUAGAAUUUUUUCAAGUUUUCGUGGCUGGAUACAGAAAAAAAUCCAGGAGACAAGUGAAGCUGCCGUUUCCAUAUAUGCAAUCUGACAUCUACGAGUCACAUUGUUCCCCUAUCAGCAGUGAUCACAGAGCCAGCCCUCUAUCAGAGUUGACUUCAGCAGAGCAUAUCGUGGCUAUUAGCCUAGCAUGGUGCGUGAUCUCCGUCUUGUCUUGUUGCUGAGGGUGCUGUCCUGUGUAGUGCGGGGGACACAUGCAUGAGGGAGGGCGUCGAUGUCACUUGUCACCACGCUUCUGUCAUAGUCCCCGGAGUUUCGAUGGCUCCCUCCGGUCCCUUGUCACUCUGCCUGGCUGGAAACAGCUGGUUACCAGAGCCAGUGCCAUGCUAGUUAACAUGGAGGGAUGUAUGGUACAUGCUGGUAUAUAGUCCAGUACUGGGAGCAGCCUAUGCGUAAUUCCACUCUAUUUAAUAUCUCCUUUUCAUUUUAAUAUUAUUAUUUGGUACAAUAUAUGUAUAUUUUUUUAGCUGUAUGUUCAAACCAGCUAAUGUCAAACAGGUUUAAUGAGAGCAGCUCCUGACUCCAGCGACCACACAGCCCAAUUCCUUGUAAAUCAGCAGUGUUGAUAUUAGCUGUUGAAGGCUAAAUGGCCAUUAUGGAUCCUCAACACUCUGACACGUUGUGACCUGCCUCCUCUAGUGAGGUAUGUGGCGCUGUGUGUGGGAAACACAUAGACUCAUAUACAUGCAUAGUCGCUCACUGCUCUGUGUGUGGGCCAUGUUUGCCACCACUUACUGACAGGUCAGACUCCCAUGGUGUGAUCAAACAGCAGCCACAACUCUCUAGAGUUCCCACAACACUCCGCCUGGUGGAGAGUGGACAAUAAAAACAAGAGUAGUGGGCUUUCAUCACAGGCUUUACCAAAGCCUGGCCUAUUCUUGCGCACUCAUUUGGCCUAACUUCAUAAAGGUCAACUCAAAAAUGUAAACUGAAUGUAGUUGUGUGCAGGGAGUGGCUCCAAACAGCAUAUACAGUAGACACUGUACUUGUUUUAGGACAUCCAAAAUAGCAUUAUUAGUCUUUCACGGGACAGGAAAAUUUGGCGCACAACUAUAUUAAGUAUUGUGGGUCAAAGUUGAACUAGAGGGCCAGUCUGUAAACUGUGAGAGAAAGAAAGACGGGUACAAUAUGCAACAAAGGUCCCUUGAACAGUUGAUGUUGCAGUUAUGUGCCUUGAAAAUCAAAAAUGCAUAUGUUUCCUCUUACCUGUAGUGCAACUUAUAAAUGUAGAUUGUUUUGGUGUGAGUUGCCGAGUGUUGGAGAUAUCCGCUGCAGAGAUGUCUGCCUUCUCUCGAAUAUAAUAGAACUGGAUGGCACUCAGCUUGUGGUGCUUAAAAUGCCAAAAAAUAAAUAAAUACAUUUGAAAAACUCAACAGCAAUGUCUCUUUCCAGAAAUCAUGAUGCGGUUAAUCCACAGACCUUGUCGUGAGCAGUUUCAUGUAGGAACUAUUUUCUUUCUACCAAACUACACCCACCAAAUCACUGCACAGAAGGAACGAUGCAUCUACUGCUUGCUUACGUCACAUCUCAGCAGAGGACACCAUCAACUUUUACAUCUCACACUGCACAGGCCUCUCGUCCAUGAGUGGAUACACGCUUUCUUCUACGCAGUGAUACAGUUGGCCGGUGUAGUUCCAUCGAAAGAAAAUAGUUCCUACAUGAAACUUCUCACAGCAAGGUCAAUGGAUUAUCUUGAGUAACCAGGUCAUGAUUUUUGUCGAAACAUUGCUGUUGAGUUUUUCAAAUGCAUUAUUUGGUGCUUUGAGCACUACUAGCUGACUUUCAUCUGGUUACAUUAUAUUCAAUAGAGUACAGAUAUCUCUAUGGCGGUAUCUCCAACACUUGGCAGCUCACACUAAAACAAUCUAGACUGAUAAAUAGCACUACAGGUAAGAGUUUAAACAUGUAUUUUUUAUUUUGUGGUGGACGGUCCCUUUAAUCAACUCUCCUGCUAGAGUCUCUCUGUAAUACCUUCUUAGGAGCCAGGUACUCAGUACAUGAUGACAAUACUUUGUUGUGUGUCUACCACUCAGAUGCAGGGGGCAGAUUUAUUACGACUUGUGCAAACAGUGGUGAUUAGCUCUAUAAAACUUCAGGCUAAACAGACUGACUGGCCAGUCAGCCAAGAGAUAUUGUAGCAAGGAGGGGGCCCUAUCUGUCGCGCUAUCAGCCCCAGCCCCUGUCCUCCACUAAUGGAAUUGUCCUCCACCCCGGGCUGUGUAUUACCAUAGAUCUGUGGGAUAGUCUCACUCCAGCAGGAGAGCCCAGUGAUUUAAUAAAGGACCCCUUUCUGACUCACUUACAACACAACAACAUCAAGACAGGCAAGUUCAGACAUAUAGCAAAUAAAUAAACAGAAGCUUCCAUCGGAAAUGGGAUGUGCAACUCAAUCAGUCUGCAAGUGUGCGCGCGUGUGUGUCUGUCUAUGACCAGGCGGAUUAUUCAAAUGAGCUGUGCCUUUUAGUCUACAGAAGAAAGCAGAAACGACAAGUAGUUCAUGGUGUAUGAGCAUCGUCAGUCCUCAAUCUACACUGACUGUUCUCUUUCAUUAGAAGCAAGGCCUGUUCAGACAGUUCAUGAUGAUGCAUUUAAAUUUCAGCUGUUCGAAAGCAAGUUUGGGUUUUAAAUUUUGUUUUUCAUUGCAUUGCUUAUCUGAAAAUAAUGUCUUAUAAACAUUUAUUAAAUGUUUAUAUGCUGUUUAUGAAUGCUAAAUAACGUGGGUUCAAAUAAAG